CGGUUCCUUUGAAGCAGUUGCUGUACUUAAUACUGCAGUAUCACCGUAACGAAUUAAUACGGCACCGUUUGCUUGUUUGGCUAAUUGACCAAUUUCAACUGUUAGGUUUCUACCAGCCCAGUCUAUGGAAAACUUUUGCUUUGCUUGUCCCAUAUAUGUAAAACUCCUCUCUUACUAGUUAGUUUUAAUAUUAUGUAUUAGUAUGAACCA
rnacentral:ncRNA from 1 species